CUGAUCACAAGUACAGUAUGGAGUACCACAAAGCUCAGUACUAGGACCACUGCUUUUCAUGCUUUACAUGCUACCCUUGGGAGAUAUCAUCAGGAAACAUGGUGUUAGCUUUCACUGUUAUGCUGAUGAUUCUUACUGUAGCUCUAUAUUUCUUAACAGCCCGACGAAACAAACCAAUUCACAAAACUAAUGGAAUGCAUAGUUGAUAUAAAAAACUGGAUGACUAGUGACCCUGUGAAUUCAUGAUAUAUAAAUGUUAUUUUAUAUAUAAGAUAAUUUUAUAAAAUACAAAUUUAUAUAUAUAUACAGUAGUGUGUGUGUGUGUGUGUGUGUGUGUGUGUAUUUUUAUUUUGUUAUUAUUAUCAGUGUGUGAGGAAUGUUCUAUUUUCUAUUUUGAUUUUACUUUUCCAGGAUGUUCCUGCACAGUCAGCAUCUGUGGAUUGCAGUGUAUUCAGGCUAAUGGUAACAAGUUAGUUUAUAAAUACAAUUAUAUAUAUAUACAGUAGUGUGUGUGUGUGUGUGUGUGUGUGUGUGAUUUUUAUUUUGUUAUUAUUAUCAGUGUGUGAGGAAAUGUUCAUUUUCUAUUUUGAUUUAUUUUCCAGGAUGUUCCUGCACAGUCAGCAUCUGUGGAUUGCAGUGUAUUCAGGCUAAUGAAGUCUGGUGGAUAGAGACUCAUUUCGAAAGAGGGCACACUUCUGCUGGCUUGACAGUGUAACAAAAAUGGAGAACAAAGUCUGAGCCAUGCCAGGAAUUUUACAAAAUGUACACACUGCAGCCCUGCAGACACUGCAAUGAGGUUUACAAGAACUGCUUACCAGGCUAUGUGGAACUGGAUGACGAGUAAUUUCUUACUGUUAAAUUCUGAAGAAACAGAGGUGUUAAUUAACGGACCAAAAACCUCUGCAUGCACUUGUAAAACAGCAUUUUUCCAUCUUAAAGUGGUCCUAUUAUGCUCUUUUACAAGGUCUUGAUUUUGUUUUGGGGGUGUACUAGAACAGGCUCUCAUACUAGGUUGUUCGAAAAAUAUAUUUUUUUCACAUAUUUUACAUUAUUACAACACCUCUCUCCCCAGUCUGCCAUGAACGGCUUGAAUAGUUCCUGCAUCAAAUGAAGGCCCGCCUUCUGAAAUACGAAGUGCGCUGUGAUUGGUUAGCUGUGCCAGUCUGUGUUGUGAUUGGCAGCACUCUGCGCCUGGUCGGGAAAUGUCAUGCCCCUUACCAUAGACUCCCGCUGCGAGCUUCAGUGUAAAUAUUGUGUCAAAAUCAAAUCAAUUUGAGCGUGAUUUAAACCCGGAUGAUUGAAACCACUCCAAGCUUGUCUGCCUUGGGAAAGCUAGCAUGUCUCUGACAUUGUGAUUGCACUCAUUGCCUUCUCUAGUGCAGCUCAACCGGUCUCAGCCCAUUCGUCGAUCUUUGUGAUAUCACAAAUCCCAGAAAAUAUGCGUUGUAGUCCAAACGAGCCAUUCGUUGUAGUUUUUGAAAAGUGAUUUAUGUUAAAUAAAAUGUCUCCUUUUGAAUUGGACUUUGAGCUUUGUAACUUUGCAGAUCUUUUUUAUGCUCAAACAGCAGCAUUACAGACUAACUAAAGUUGAAAAAGUGAAAAAGCAUAAUAGCACCCCUUUAAAAAUAUAUCUAAAUUAUAACCUAUGCUCUCAAUGUCAAAUGCAGAAAACUUCAUUCAUGUGUUCAUGACCUCAAGGUGAGAUUAUUGUAAUGCUUUAUUGGGUGGUUGUCCUGUCAACUCUGCACUGGCUUAUUAUUGAACAUUGAUUAUUAAAUUUAUUUUAAAUAUUGCUAAUUACUUAAUAAAGCCCUGAAUGGCCUCCUCAGUACUUGAAAGAGCUAAAAUCACAUUAUAGUCCUUCACAUCCGCUGCAAUCUCAAAACUCUGGCCAUUUAGUAAUAACAAGAAUAUCAAAAUCAACUGUGGGUGGCAGAUCUUUUUCCUAUUUAGCACCCACACUCUGGAACAAUCUACCUACUGUUUGGGAGGCAGACACAUUCUGCCAGUUUAAAACUAGAUUAAAGAUCCAUCUCGUUAACCUGGCAUACACAUAACACACUAUCACAUUUCUAUUAUUCAAAUAUACAGGUCCUUCUCAAAAAAUUAGCAUAUUGUGAAAAGUUCAUUAUUUUCCAUAAUGUAAUGAUAAAAAUUAAACUUUCAUAUAUUUUAGAUUCAUUGCACACCAACUGAAAUAUUUCAGGUCUUUUAUUGUUUUAAUACUGAUGAUUUUGGCAUACAGCUCAUGAAAACCCAAAAUUCCUAUCUCAAAAAAUUAGCAUAUUUCAUCCGACCAAUAAAAGAAAAGUGUUUUUAAUACAAACAAAAAAAAAAAGUCAACCU
rnacentral:lncRNA from 1 species